UAGACUGAAAAUUGCUUAUAAGCUAAUUGUGAUUAAAGUAAUCACAAUAAUGCUAAAAUGGAAAUUAAGCAUUUCUAAACUUAAUUAGUAGCUUGAGAACAUCCAUUGAUAGGUUUUGGAUGUGUGAGAAUAAGCUCGAAGGGAAUUGAAGCAACAGAAGAACUCCAAUUGCCAUUUGAGUCGAAAAUUGAAAUUUCUAGUCAAUUGGUCAAAAUGGCCACAUUGAUGCAAAGUUUGAAACUAAUUGCUUCCAAACUACCUUGAUGUCUUGGAAAGCUUCUUUGGCAUGAUUUGGAUGUGCUCGAAUGAGAUCCAAAUGAAUUAUAUGAGAGGAACAAGAGAUAUGAACACCCGAUGUCCAAAUGCUGAAAUUUUUAGUUAAAUUGAUCAAAAGUGAUCAAAUUGAUGCAAAUUUGAGAAUUAAAAGUUACCAAAUUAAUUUGGUAGCUUGGGAAGUUCAUUUGGAAUGUUUUUGAAGCGUUGGAAUGAAAAAGGAAUGAGAAAAAUCAAAGGAAAAGAGAAUCGAAGCAGCUGCUGUUCCUGCUGCUGCUGCUGCUACUGGUGCACUGUGUACCGGUACAGCAAGUAGCCUGUACCGGUACAGCAGUUGCGGGCAGCACUUGUCCACUGAUGCAAUUUCAUGGAAUUUGAAGGGCUAAGCUGCAAUUGAUCACCCUUAUCUCUUCACCUGAGUGGAAUACACUUGUCCAAGCUCCAGAAAUCCUAUUUCCUUUUAUACUUAUCAUUUCUUUCUUCCUCUCUUCUCUCUAGACAAAGAAAGGGCUUGAGACGUUAGAGUUGGCAGCUUAGGGAGUUGAGUGGCUGAGCAAGUAAUCAGCAGGGAAUAGAAUUUGGAGCAGGGAAAUUUCGAUUUCUGCUGUUCGAGCAUAGAGGGCAGCUAGGGAGAAGUGUUCUUGCUGCUGGAGCUGAAGCUAACCUUGGAAAAGCUUCAAGCUAAGGAGAAUUGGUGGAGUUCAGCCGAAAAGAGGAAGUUGAGCUGAGAACCACUUGGUAUAACACCUAAUUAAGAAUCUGAAAUCUAAGGCAUUCAUUGCUGCAGGAGUCACAAAAGAGAGUUAGAUGCUGAAGUUCCUGCUGUGAUGCUGCUGAAAUUCAGGAUUGAGCCACUUGAUGCAGUGAACUAGUAAAUUCAGCAGCAAACUAAGAAUUGAGCUGAAAAGAAAGCUUCGGAGAGACCUUUUGAUUAUUGGAGCUUGCUCGAACCAGGGAUCAGCUGAGAAGGCUUGGGAUUUGAAGUAAGAACUUGACUCCUUCGCUGGCUCGAGCUGAGAGAAGCUACCUGGCAAGGAGUUCAUGCUAUGGUUGCUGCUGCAAGGAUGAAAUGGAUCAACUAAAAGCUUCGCUGCAGGAAUUUCAGCUUUGGAGCUGAACUAAGAAGUAUUGGAGCUAACCUAUAUACCUUCAUGUUGCUGCUGCUGCCGAAAUGAAGAGAGGACCAAUUGAUGCAUGGAGCAAGUCAACUUAGCAUCAAAUUACAGUCGGUGACGCGCUAAUUACGAUAGAAGCCAUUUUGGCUCUAUUUGCUUCUAGUCGUGAGAUACCCUCGUGGAUUCACUUUGAGACGUGAGAUCUGAUUUGCGACACCACUACAGGUUCCAGUGCGAGCGUUGUAGCCAUGGAUCGCGGCAAGGGCCCCGCAGCUUAGCUAGCGGACACCAGAGUUCUAGUAGUUUACCAUUUUGGCUUCAUGUAGCAUCUAGUUGAUGUAUAGAAACAUGUAAAUGAAUGUAUUAUAAAACAUGUAUAUAACUAAAUGCUUUCAUGUUCAGUUAUGUAAAUUCAGUUGGAAAGUUUUAAAUUACAGUGAAUUUCAUGUUUA